rnacentral:tRNA from 1 species
GCCGGGGUAACUCAGCGGUAGAGUAGCUGUUUCGUAAACAGCAAGUCGUGGGUUCGAGUCCCACCUCCGGCUCCA